rnacentral:tRNA from 1 species
GCCUGGGUGGCUCAGUCGGUUAAGCAUCCGACUUCAGCUCAGGUCAUGAUCUCGCGGUCCGUGAGUUCAAGCCCCGCUUCGGGCU